rnacentral:rRNA from 1 species
GUAAAAAAUUUAGCCUACUUCCCCCUUGUAAAAAAUAAUUUUAAACCAUAAAAUAAAACAUUUUCACCACUUUAGUAUAGGAGAUAGAAAAACUUAUUUAGCGCAAUAGAAAAAGUACUGCAAAGGAAAAAUGAAAUAGAAAUUAAAUAAAACAUAAAAACAACAAAAAGCAAAGAUUUAACCUUAUACCUUUUGCAUUAUGGUCUAGUAAGUUUAACCUAACACAAAGAACUUAAGUUAGAUACCCCGAAACUAAACGAGUUACUCCGAAGCAGCAAAACAUGGGCCAACCCUUCUCUGUGGCAAAAGAGUGGGACGACUUCCGAGUAGCGGUGAUAAACCUACCGAGCUUAG